GACUUAUAGAGGCUUUUAGAGGCUUAACUUGAGGAUCGGAGCCUUGUUGAGCAGUAUAUUGGGACUUCGUGUGACUAAUUGGAGCUUCAUAAUAGAGCCAUCUACAGGAGAGGCUAGGGAUCGUG